AUUGAACGCUGGCGGCAUGCCUUACACAUGCAAGUCGAACGGUAACAGGUCUUCGGAUGCUGACGAGUGGCGAACGGGUGAGUAAUACAUCGGAACGUGCCUAGUAGUGGGGGAUAACUACUCGAAAGAGUGGCUAAUACCGCAUGAGAUCUACGGAUGAAAGCAGGGGAUCGCAAGACCUUGUGCUACUAGAGCGGCCGAUGGCAGAUUAGGUAGUUGGUGGGAUAAAAGCUUACCAAGCCGACGAUCUGUAGCUGGUCUGGGAGGACGAUCAGCCACACUGGGACUGAGACACGGCCCAGACUCCUACGGGAGGCAGCAGUGGGGAAUUUUGGACAAUGGGCGCAAGCCUGAUCCAGCAAUGCCGCGUGCAGGAUGAAGGCCUUCGGGUUGUAAACUGCUUUUGUACGGAACGAAAAGCCCUGGGUUAAUACCCUGGGGUCAUGACGGUACCGUAAGAAUAAGCACCGGCUAACUACGUGCCAGCAGCCGCAGUAAAAC
rnacentral:rRNA from 1 species